AAGUGGUCCAAGAGAGAAUUUGUGAUGAUGAGCUGAUCUUAAUCAAAAACACUAAGGCUCAUACAUCCGCAUUGAUUAUCUUACAUGGGGCAAAUGAUUUCAUGUGUGAUGAGACGGAGCGCUCUUUACAUGAUGCCCUUUGUGUAGUGAAGAGAGUUUCGUAGUCAAAAUCUGUGGUUCCAGGUGGGGGUGCUGUAGAAGCAACCCUGUCUUUAUACCUUGAAAACUAUGCAGCCAGCAUGGGGUCUCGGGAACAGCUUGCUAUUGCAGAGUUUGCAAGAUCACUUCUUGUUAUUCCUAAUACACUGGCAGUUAAUGCUGCCCAGGACUCCACAGAUCUGGUUGCAAAAUUAAGAGCUUUUCACAAUGAGGCUCAGCUUAACCCAGAACGUAAAAAUCUAAAAUGGAUUGGUCUUGAUUUGAGCAAUGGUAAACCUCAAGACAACAAACAAGCAGCAGGGGUGUUUGAACCAACCAUAGUUAAAGUUAAGAGUUUGAAAUUUGCAACAGAAGCUGCGAUUACCAUUCUUCGAAUUGAUGAUCUUAUUAAAUUACAUCCAGAAAGUAAAGAUGAUAAACAUGGAAGUUAUGAAGAUGCUAUUCACUCUGGAGCCCUUAAUAAUUGAUCUCCUUGUUUCUUUAUUUAUAACAAUGUUAAAUGCAGUCGUCUUGUAGCUUGAGUAUCCAUUAAAAUACACCAAGCUGUAAACUUGGGUUUUUGUGAUGUAGGAAAUGGUUUCCAUCUGUGCUUUGGUCCUCUGAUUUCACAUAUUAUAACCCUAGUACUUUAUUAGUUUAAAAAGAAA